rnacentral:misc_RNA from 1 species
AAGUCGUAACAAGGUAACCGUAGGUGAACCUGCGGUUGGAUCAUUACAAAAUGAUUGCUUUGCCCUGUUGUUGGACCUUUUCACACUGGUUCACCGGGGCAGAGUUUAAACCACCUGUGCACCGUCAUGUUUUUUGGGCAGCCGGCGAGACUGAAAAGUCAAGCUACUGCCCAGCAUUUUAAACCAACUUAAAUUAGCCUGAGAUUAAUAGUUUAAUAGUAAACAACUUUUGACAACGGAUCUCUUGGCUCUC